UACAGUAAGACGUUAGGUAUGCUACUAGUUACGUUAAAUAAAUUAAGCCCCCUCUAUCUGUCAAGAAGGCGAAGCAUCCGCUUCCUAUCUCUAGCAGUUAGCUGUGUUCGAGUGCCAUCGUUUGUGAGCUCAUCGUUGCUGCUCAUUGAGAUGGAUGGAGGGAGGAGCGCUAGCCGCUGAAGAAAAGGAAGGAAAGAGCAU
rnacentral:lncRNA from 1 species